UCUGUACGCUUAACGUACAGGCUGCCGGGAAUACUGCAGAGCUAGGGAGUGGGAGAGGUAGACGGUACUCGGGAGGAAGUGGUAAAAUGCUUUGAUCUCUCGAUGACCACCUGUGGCGAAGGCGGUCUACCAGAACACGUCCGACGGUGAGGGAUGAAAGCUGGGGGAGCAAACCGGAUUAGAUACCCGGGUAGUCCCAGCUGUAAACUAUGCAAACUCAGUGAUGCAUUGGCUUGUGGCCAAUGCAGUGUUGCAGGGAAGCCGUUAAGUUUGCCGCCUGGGAAGUACGUACGCAAGUAUGAAACUUAAAGGAAUUGGCGGGGGAGCACCACAAGGGGUGAAGCCUGCGGUUCAAUUGGAGUCAACGCCAGAAAUCUUACCCGGAGAGACAGCAGAAUGAAGGUCAAGCUGAAGACUUUACCAGACAAGCUGAGAGGUGGUGCAUGGCCGCCGCCAGCUCGUGCCGUGAGAUGUCCUGUUAAGUCAGGUAACGAGCGAGAUCCCUGCCUCUAGUUGCCACCAUUACUCUCAGGAGUAGUGGGGCGAAUUAGCGGGACCGCCGCAGUUAAUGCGGAGGAAGGAAGGGGCCACGACAGGUCAGUAUGCCCCGAAAAU
rnacentral:rRNA from 1 species